rnacentral:lncRNA from 1 species
AGUGCACGGACCGUUACUUGUCCUGUUCCAUGUGCGCUGUGUCCUAAGCUACCAUGAUGGUCGGCUCCUUGUUCGGCGCGCUCCGGCCGCCGCGUGGAUGGUCGCGGCCGUUUGCUUCGUCGGAGAGGGCACUGCGCCGGCCUUCGCGACCACCAAGAGCUCUGGCCGUCGGAAAUCCUCAGGAAUCUCUCGCUGCUGCGUCAGCAGCAGCGCCGGCGGCUUUUGUCCGGCGCACAGGAAACCGGGCCAGAGGCGUGCGCCCACGCGCGCACUCGCCUGAUUGAUCCUCGAGCGGGACGGACGACAGGGACGGGACGAGGCGAGGUGAUGAGUUGCGUUGAAGCGCACAUGGCUUCAAAGGGCACGUCAGAGUGCCUGACGGCGAAGGAGCGCGCCGCCGCGGCGCCAUCUGCGCGCAGGGGCUAGCAUGCGUGCCACCGCCAGCCGCGCGCGCGCGGCUCACCUCGGACGCGUCGACAGUCUGUUCGCGCACUCUUUCAUCAGGAGCACAGGACGUACCGAUCGACUUGUCAUCUUCGAC